UGCAAGAGAGGGUGUUGUAGGUUGCAGUGAUGUGAGUGUGAGAAACUGUUGCAGGUUGGAGUGUGAGAGAAACAGGGAGAAAGUGUGUGAAAGAGAGUGCGUGUUGUAGGUUGCAGUGAUGAGAGAAACUGUUGUAGGUUGGGUGUGCGAGGGAAACGGUGAGAGUGUGUGAAAGAGAGUGCAUGUUGUAGGUUGCAGUGUGAGAGAAACUGUGAGGAACUGUUGUAGGUUGCAGUGUAAGAAGGAAACAGUGAGAGAGUGUGUAUGUGUGCAAGAGAGGGUGUUGUAGGUUGCAGUGAUGUGAGAGAAACGGUUGUAGGUCGGAGCGUGCGAGGGAAACGGUGAGAAAGUGUGUGAAAGAGUGCGUGUUGUAGGUUACAGUGAGAGAGAGAAACUGUGAGAAACUGCUGUAGGUUGGAGUGUGCGAGGGAAACGGUGAGAAUGUGUGCGUGUGAGAGACACCGACUGUGACAGACAGAAACACUCUUGUAGGUUGCAGUGCAAGAAAUAGCGUGUGAGAGAGAAGCGGUGCGUGUUGUAGGUUAAAGUGUGUAACACGCUUACACGUUAGAGAGUGCGAGUUGUACAUUAUAAUAGUGACAGGGAACGGGGUGUGUAAAGUUAUGAGCGAGCGCGUUUACGAGUGUACUAAAGUGUGGACUCCAGAUUCUCCGAGUGACAAUAUUACAAGUAAACUAUCGGUAUCGGAUGGUUGAUUCAGGACGUGAUACCGGAGGUGAUACCGGUGUCUCCUGGAGGCGCGCGCACACACACACACACACUCACAUGCCGUGGAUCCGCUUGUGGACGUUGAUGGUGUAUUCCCGGGUCACCACCUCGUUAAUGGCUGAGCGGCCCUUCUUCUUCUCACCU